rnacentral:tRNA from 1 species
GCGUCUGUAGCUUAAUGGAUAGAGCACUGGGUUGCGGACCCAGCGAUUGAAGGUUCGAAUCCUUCCAGGCGCACCA